CUUAAGCAACAAGUGCAAGUCCGUUCGGUUUGAAGAGCUCUAGGGAAGCGGAUCUCGGCCUCUGCUCCCUGCCUAUGUGAACCCAGGAGCCACUCAGUCUCCCGUCCUGCUUUCUGAAGCUUGUUUGAAGCAAGAAUGGAUCUAUGGGAUGGAAAUAAUGAACCAUUUAUAUCCCAAAAUGAGACUGCCAGGAAAAACAAACACCAAAAAAGAACAUUUUAUCAGAGGGUUUACUGCCCAAGGCUAACGGGGUACAAGGUACUGAGUGUUCGGUGGCCUGGGCCAAGAGCUACAGUAAGUCAUGCCUUUCCCUCCUGCCAGCCCGAUCAGACAGCCUUAACCACCUGGUGGUGAAGAGCUUUAGUGUUGUCUAAGUGAAGAUGGGCGGAGACACCACGUAUUUGAUAGCAACACAACAUCUGUUGCCACACUGAAACAAGUGCUUCUGCGUAACAGUUGCGUAAGUAAGUCCGGGAGGCUCAGGCUGAGUUCAUCGGUGGGGGACCUGCUAACCUGCGGUUUAUGUAACUAGGAGCCAGCCCUCCAGGGUGCUUCUGGUCGCCUUGGAAAGAAUGUUUGGUCUUUGAACUUGGCCCUGGCUUCCGGCACUUCUUUGCCCCAAAGGUGUGUGGAAUGGCUCAGCUGUCAGCACCUGCUGGGGAGAUAAAAAAAAAAAAAAAAAAAAAAAAAAAAGCACCCAUAGGCUGAUCCUCUUUGAGCACCAAUACCGAGGAGGCCAGUGACAGGACCCAGAUGGCCUCCCCCUCCCCAACCAAACACCCUAUAUGGGGGAGAACAAGGUCCCUUCGUCUAAGGAGGCAGAAGCCAGAAGCCUGCUCCAACGGAGGACAAGGGCGAAAGAAUCUUUCCCUCUAAGCCUGGAAACGCUAGCCAUGUUGCGCGCUCCGGGCAUUGUUCUCUUCCCCGUGGGCUGGGAACUUGGCCCUCUGCUUUGCUCCUAGCUUACCUGGAGCAAGAUAAUAAAGUAGGUCAAACUCGUGUCAGCUGCCCUCUCACCUCAAUCGCCACACCACUGCCCACUUCGAGGCCCGGCUGUUUCCAUCCAGUUUUCCAACCGUUCUCAGCUCUGAACACCUGCUUGGCACCGGGUGUUGUGCUAAACACCAAGCAGCAGGCGGGCAGGGCUUCUGCGGCACCCGGUGACUACCCAUAGUGCCCUGGGCCUCUACCCCGUCCGGCAGGUUUGCCAUGAACCCAUGUGACUCACACUAUGCUGCCCGCAGAUUGUGGUGCUGUCCCUCUCAGCCUUGGACGUCUUUCUUUGCAUCACUGCAUAUGGUGAAAUGCAAUUGCGCAUGGAUUUCCUGGGGAUGGAAAUUCCCAUGAAACGAUGGCUGGAAGUCAAGACCAGGAAGACCUGGAACUGGGAGAGAUCCACCUGUCUCCGUCUCCAGAGUGCUGGGAUUAAAGACAUGUGCCACCACAUCUGACCUAAGGAGUUCCCAGUCUGAACAGAGAGAAGACAGAAGACUUUGGCAAGUGGAAGAUUCAGUUACAAUGAACCAAGCAUUACAGGAGAAAGGCCAGGAUAGCAAACUGUUAAAUGUGGACAUCUUCCGUGUUCCUUUUUCUAGACACCCAGUGCUGAAUGAGUGGCAAGUCUCACAAAAGAAAAAAAAAAUGUUUUGGCCUCUCCUUGACACUGUUCUGCCCGAAAGCUUGAUAUCAAACAAACAUUGCUAGGUCAUUGUCACGUGACUGCUCUCUAAAGGCCACUGAGAGGGAGCAGAGUAUUAUUUACUGUAAAUCAAUCAGUAUGUGUUUAUCCCUCCAAACAUUCAUCUUCCAUGGGUAAAGAGGAGGCACUGAUGACACCUGAGAGCUGAGGAAUUGAAAUAAACAGGAGGUGAGAGGCAGAGCAACCCCUCCAUUCGAAAAGGCCUCUGGUGUGGUUUCCUGAAGGAGAGAGAGGCCGGGUUCCCAAUGCAGCUAUCCAAGUGUCCAGACUGUCGGUGGGAAAAAUCAGGAUUAUGUCAUCUAGUCCAUAGAACGCCAGUGCCACUAGGAGAAAAACCCCCCAAUUAAUUGGGAAGAGUGACAUUUUCAUUAAAAUUCUUUUAGAAAAUGUUUA